rnacentral:rRNA from 1 species
CCAGACUCCUACGGGAGGCAGCAGUGGGGAAUAUUGCACAAUGGGCGGAAGCCUGAUGCAGCAACGCCGCGUGCGGGAUGACGGCCUUCGGGUUGUAAACCGCUUUCGCCUGUGACGAAGCGUGAGUGACGGUAAUGGGUAAAGAAGCACCGGCUAACUACGUGCCAGCAGCCGCGGUGAUACGUAGGGUGCGAGCGUUGUCCGGAUUUAUUGGGCGUAAAGGGCUCGUAGGUGGUUGAUCGCGUCGGAAGUGUAAUCUUGGGGCUUAACCCUGAGCGUGCUUUCGAUACGGGUUGACUUGAGGAAGGUAGGGGAGAAUGGAAUUCCUGGUGGAGCGGUGGAAUGCGCAGAUAUCAGGAGGAACACCAGUGGCGAAGGCGGUUCUCUGGGCCUUUCCUGACGCUGAGGAGCGAAAGCGUGGGGAGCGAACAGGCUUAAAUACCCUGGUAGUCCACGCUGUAAACGGUGGGUACUAGGUGUGGGGUCCAUUCCACGGGUUCCGUGCCGUAGCUAACGCUUUAAGUACCCCGCCUGGGGAGUACGGCCGCAAGGCUAAAACUCA